rnacentral:ncRNA from 2 species
AUCUUAUCAAGAGCAGGUGGAGGGACUAGCCCGAUGAAACCCGGCAACCGGCGUGAAGACGCACGGUGCUAAUUCUUGCAGGAGACUUUGAAGCGGGCAGAUGCCCGGUGAAGAUUUCUGGCAGAUGAGAG